CGCUGAUGCGAUUCGAUCCAGUGGGAACUUUUGUCACCUUGCCUCUUCUCUCUUUCCUAACACUCAAAUCUCUCCUCAGCCUUCAGAUAGAUAGUCUUUGAAGCAAACCAAAGGUGAAAACUGUUCUGCAGUUGGUGAUGACAAGAAGAAUCACAAGCUUUUGACUUAUGUUUGAGAAUCAUCAUGGGACAAGGCUUCCGCAAUCGAAAUGGGACUUUUUCAGCAGCAUCCUAGAAAGACUCUUUGCCUUUAUCGCUUCACCUAGACAACGAGCAAGGAUAACUCCAUCCUCCAUGGCUGAGCAACCUCCUUGUCCGAUAUCAGGAGUCAUUGGGUGAAGUGCAUCUCCUGCAACGCACACGUUGUCUUUUGUGAUGUUUGACCAUAGCAGUUCCCAUGGAGGUCGGUACUUCAGUUGAGACAUCACCAUGCUAUCAAGAUCAGUGGUCUCCACCACAUUCUUAAUGUUUUCAGGCAAGUCUUUGAUCUUGUUCAGCACAAACUCUUUGAGGAUUUCCGAAUUUGUCUCCUCAUCUAACAAGCGCAAGGAGAAGAGUCAAAGACAGUAGUAUGAUAUGAACAAGAAGCUGCUUGUAGUUAGAUAUUAGAUAUCAGGUAAAGUUGCAUAUCUUCACCUAUAUCAGUGGAGGUGUGGGUUAGGAACCAGUAGACAGUGUUGUGGUCACAUGGGAUAAAACCGGAACGAACGCCGUCUCCAUAAAACUGGAAGAACCUUUUCCCAAAUCCAUGGCCUUCCGGAAAAUGUGUGAGCCCUCGGAUUGCUAACCGGGCAGUUGUAGCGGGAUUUUUGAAGCCUAGCCACUUACCAACCACUGAGUACACUCCAUCGCACCCUACCAAAACCUGCAUUUCGUUUAGAAACCCUACAAUUCCGUAGCAAGACCAGGCCUCACAUGGUUUACAGAGGACAAGUAGUUAUUUACCUUGGUUUUGAGAAUGGUCCCGUCGGAGAGAUGAACCUUCUUGUAGCAUCCAGACAAUUCAAUAUGAACAACCUUAGACGAAAACCUGAUGGUCUCUUCAGGCAACUCACCUGCUAGAGCCUCUAACAACAGCUUCCUCUGAGAAGAAGAAACAUACUCGGAUUCUGGAAACAGCAUCUCUGUGGGAGGAGUUCCUGCAGAAAUUGUUCCAACCACCCAUCUGCAGCAAAAUCAAAGAUGAGUCCCCUUUUUUACUGAGCUGAUUAUAUAUGAAUAGUAAUAAUAGUGUUAGUUUGAUACCCUUCAAGGCGAUCAUGGAGACUGCGAAUAUGCUGAGAAACGCCGAGAGCUUCCAUGGCCUUCCAAGCAUUGAACCAAGUGGUAAAUGCAAAUCCUGUCGCUCUCAGUGUCUCCGAAGAUUCCAGCACCAUGCUUCUGAUCCCAAGCCUGUGACACACACCACUUUAGUUAACUUACUCUGCUUAAUAACAACUCAAAAGGCACGCCACACACACCUGUGUAGUCCAACAGCGGUGGAAAGGCCGGAGAUACCGGCGCCAACGAUGAUGAUAUCUGGGCUGCCUUCUUCUUCCAUGGUGCGUUGAUGAUCUUAGAAAGAAAGCUCUGUUUUUCUUCCUCUCUAGUAUUUAUUUUUAACUUUCAAGUAAACAAAAAGAAAUGUGGUUGAAGUUGGCAAGUCAAACAAGGCACCCCGUUCUAGGCAGGCGGCUACAGUCAUCAAAUAUCGAAUCUUUAAUAGUAUUUAUAUGUUGUCACACUUUAUCCCGUUCUAGCUAGG
rnacentral:lncRNA from 1 species